GGGACUGUGGCUCAGAAGGAUAGAGCAAGCGCCUCCUAAGCGCUAGGUCGCGGGUUCGAAUCCCGCCAGUCCCG
rfam:Leptolyngbya valderiana BDT 20041 contig00043, whole genome shotgun sequence.